rnacentral:rRNA from 1 species
CCUCCUACGGGACGCAGCAGUGGGGGAUAUUGCACAAUGGGGGAAACCCUGAUGCAGCGACGCCGCGUGGGCGAAGAAGCGCCUCGGCGCGUAAAGCCCUGUCAGCAGGGAAGAAAAUGACGGUACCUGAAGAAGAAGCCCCGGCUAACUACGUGCCAGCAGCCGCGGUAAUACGUAGGGGGCAAGCGUUAUCCGGCUUUACUGGGUGUAAAGGGGGCGCAGACGGCGAUGCAAGCCAGGAGUGAAAGCCCGGGGCCCAACCCCGGGACUGCUCUUGGCACUGCGUGGCUAGAGUGCAGGAGGGG